ACGGAAGGCAGCAGUGGGGAAUAUUGCACAAUGGGCGAAAGCCUGAUGCAGCGACGCUGCGUGAGUGAAGAAGUAUCUCGGUAUGUAAAGCUCUAUCAGCAGGGAAGAAAAUGACGGUACCUGACUAAGAAGCCCCGGCUAACUACGUGCCAGCAGCCGCGGUAAUACGUAGGGGGCAAGCGUUAUCCGGAUUUACUGGGUGUAAAGGGAGCGUAGACGGUUUGGCAAGUCUGAAGUGAAAUGCGGGGGCUCAACUCCUGAACUGCUUUGGAAACUGUCGAACUAGAGUGCAGGAGAGGUAAGUGGAAUUCCUAGUGUAGCGGUGAAAUGCGUAGAUAUUAGGAGGAACACCAGUGGCGAAGGCGGCUUACUGGACUGUAACUGACGUUGAGGCUCGAAAGCGUGGGGAGCAAACAGGAUUAGAUACCCUGGUA
rnacentral:rRNA from 1 species